GUACCACCUUCUCAGCACUGCCGGACCUCCAGAUACUUUUCCUCUUCCUCUUUAGUGUUGAAUCUAUAUUUUUGAACCAUGUUUCAGAACAUUAGGCUUGGGUGUUAGUAGGGCCGGCUCAAGGGUAAAGCUGCUAAAGCCCUAGCUUUGGGCUUCCUUUCUUCCAUGCCUCCGUUUUACGAUUUACUUCAUGUAUACUAACUAAUCGUAUUGGGCUCUGUGGUUGAGACUUGGGAAAAAAGAUUAGUGAACAUGGGGGUGGGGGUGGAAAUAGAAUCGUCAGGAACAGUAAAGUGUAAAUCGGAAACGAAUUUCGAAGUUCCAACUACAACUUGUUCUGUGUUCUUUCUCAACUAAAUCGAAGUUGUUCUGUUGUGCUUUGGAAUCGGAAUUGUCAAAUAGAAGGUUUUAUGUUCUAAGGUCCCUGUUAUGCUUUUUCUUUAGUAAUUGAAGCCUAGUUAACAAUUUCUGGCCGGUGAUUUUGUAGAGAAGUGUUUCAAGACUUGUAGGUUCACUCAGAGUUGGAGCAUUAUGUGACCAGUUGCUACUACAAACUUUGCCAUAUUUACAUUAAAAACACAUUUAGACACUCCUCUAUAUAAAAUACAGACAUGGAAUUGAACCGUCAAGCUGCCACGAUUGAACCCCGUCAAGCGCACCACAGUCGAACCCCGGAUGGUGUUAAUUAG
rnacentral:lncRNA from 1 species